GCUGACAUGGCGUAAUUGGUAGGCGCGAGAGAUUUAAAAUCUCUUACCGUAAGGUGUCUGGGUUCGAUCCCCAGUGUCAGCA
rfam:Zostera marina strain Finnish scaffold_4097, whole genome shotgun sequence.